GGAAUAUUGCACAAUGGGGGGAACCCUGAUGCAGCAACGCCGCGUGAGCGAAGAAGGUCUUCGGAUCGUAAAGCUCUGUCCUAAGGGACGAUAAUGACGGUACCUUAGGAGGAAGCCCCGGCUAACUACGUGCCAGCAGCCGCGGUAAUACGUAGGGGGCGAGCGUUAUCCGGAAUUAUUGGGCGUAAAGAGUACGUAGGUGGUCCGUUAAGCGAGUGGUGAAAGCCCGGGGCUCAACUCCGGCGAGCCAUUCGAACUGGCGGACUUGAGUGCAGGAGGGGAAAGUGGAAUUCCUGGUGUAGCGGUGAAAUGCGUAGAUAUCAGGAGGAACACCGGUGGCGAAGGCGACUUUCUGGACUGUAACUGACACUGAGGUACGAAAGCGUGGGGAGCAAACA
rnacentral:rRNA from 1 species